rnacentral:tRNA from 16 species
GGACCCUUAGUGUAAUGGAUCGCACGCAAGAUUCCGGUUCUUGAAAUCUGGGUUCGACUCCCAGGGGGUCCAUCA